rnacentral:rRNA from 1 species
AAGUAUAAGCAAUAUAUACAGUGAAACUGCGAAUGGCUCAUUAAAUCAGUUAUCGUUUAUUUGAUAGUACCUUACUACUUGGAUAACCGUGGUAAUUCUAGAGCUAAUACAUGCUAAAAACCUCGACUUCGGAAGGGGUGUAUUUAUUAGAUAAAAAACCAAUGCCCUUCGGGGCUCCUUGGUGAUUCAUAAUAACUUAACGAAUCGCAUGGCCUUGUGCCGGCGAUGGUUCAUUCAAAUUUCUGCCCUAUCAACUUUCGAUGGUAGGAUAGUGGCCUACCAUGGUUUCAACGGGUAACGGGGAAUUAGGGUUCUAUUCCGGAGAGGGAGCCUGAGAAACGGCUACCACAUCCAAGGAAGGCAGCAGGCGCGCAAAUUACCCAAUCCCGACACGGGGAGGUAGUGACAAUAAAUACUGAUACAGGGCUCUUUUGGGUCUUGUAAUUGGAAUGAGUACAAUUUAAAUCCCUUAACGUUAGGGGAUUGACAACGAGUCGCGCUCUGCGGCGACACCUCCACUCUUCGAGGACCGUCAUCUGACGGAAUUCGAGGCAUAGCAAUCCGCCGUGUUAAGAGACCAGAUGGAGGUGGGCAACAGCUGUUGUUUUAGGUAUGGCCCAAUCCUGUGAGCAAUCACUGGUAGCAAUGUAACGAGGAACAAUUGGAGGGCAAGUCUGGUGCCAGCAGCCGCGGUAAUUCCAGCUCCAAUAGCGUAUAUUAAAGUUGUUGCAGUUAAAAAGCUCGUAGUUGAACCUUGGGCCUGGCUGGCCGGUCCGCCUCACCGCGUGCACUGGUCCGGCCGGGCCUUUCCUUCUGGGGAACCGCAUGCCCUUCACUGGGUGUGUCGGGGAAUCAGGACUUUUACUUUGAAAAAAUUAGAGUGUUCAAAGCAGGCCUAUGCUCGAAUACAUUAGCAUGGAAUAAUAGAAUAGGACGUGUGGUUCUAUUUUGUUGGUUUCUAGGACCGCCGUAAUGAUUAAUAGGGAUAGUCGGGGGCAUCAGUAUUCAAUUGUCAGAGGUGAAAUUCUUGGAUUUAUUGAAGACUAACUACUGCGAAAGCAUUUGCCAAGGAUGUUUUCAUUAAUCAGUGAACGAAAGUUAGGGGAUCGAAGACGAUCAGAUACCGUCGUAGUCUUAACCAUAAACUAUGCCGACUAGGGAUCGGGCGAUGUUAUCUUUUUGACUCGCUCGGCACCUUACGAGAAAUCAAAGUUUUUGGGUUCUGGGGGGAGUAUGGUCGCAAGGCUGAAACUUAAAGAAAUUGACGGAAGGGCACCACCAGGAGUUAAACGCGCAGUCACUCUGCUCCUCACGACAGCCUGAAAAGGUCGGUGGGUGGUCCUAGCACAUGCUGAAAAAUGUCCAAGUACGCGCAGUUUCUGCGGUGCGAUACACCUAAAUUGCGAGAAUGUUCUAAUGCUCCCGCUACUGAGUCUGAGUCGAAAGGCCGGGCGCUGGUAACAAUGCGGGAGAUGCUACAAUGGACAACUCGCAGCCUCCUACCUAACGCGAACGCCAUGGUAGGGGGUUCAGAGAUUACACAGGUGUGGAUGAAGCUCACGAUUGUCACCGAUCGCGCGGUUUAUCUAAGGUAUAAUCCAAACUCAGUCGCAAGAUUGCAGUAUUGAUUGGGAGCCUGCGGCUUAAUUUGACUCAACACGGGGAAACUCACCAGGUCCAGACACAAUAAGGAUUGACAGAUUGAGAGCUCUUUCUUGAUUUUGUGGGUGGUAAACGUUCAUACACUGCCACCGAAAGCACUCGCAGCAAUGCGGGUGCCUAGUCUGCUCAUCGCAGGCGACGCUCCUACAGUGCUGAGAUCCGCCGGCAACGGUGGUAUCAGCGAUCAGGGCCCCUCGGGGCGCUGGUUCACAGACUAAGCAGGUGCGGACCGCAGGACGACACUGAAGUCCACGGUUUGAGAUAUAGUCGAACCCCAGGCGUAAUCGUCCGGGUGUCAGUGGGUGCAUGGCCGUUCUUAGUUGGUGGAGUGAUUUGUCUGCUUAAUUGCGAUAACGAACGAGACCUUAACCUGCUAAAUAGCCAGGCUAGCUUUGGCUGGUCGCCGGCUUCUUAGAGGGACUAUCGGCUCAAGCCGAUGGAAGUUUGAGGCAAUAACAGGUCUGUGAUGCCCUUAGAUCUAGGGGUCGUCGGUUGGCAGUCUCGCCUGUUCGCAGGUGAGGUCUGCUGGCAUUUGGAGUCACUGCUCUCCGGAGCGGUGGCAACACUCUUAGUUUCUGGGAAGCAAUCGGGGUGGAGUAAAAUCCUCCUGAUGGUAACCCGGAGCCGUGAGCAGCAGCCCACGGUCAAGAGACUAAAUAGGAGUGGGGUGACGCGAGUUACCUUAAGAUAUAGCCCAAUCCCGUCGCGAAAGCAACUGGAACCUCUCGCCGCUGGCGUUGGGUGCAAAUGUAGAUGUUCUGGGCCGCACGCGCGCUACACUGACAGAGCCAACGAGUUCAUCACCUUGGCCGAAAGGUCUGGGUAAUCUUGUUAAACUCUGUCGUGCUGGGGAUAGAGCAUUGCAAUUAUUGCUCUUCAACGAGGAAUUCCUAGUAGGCGCAAGUCAUCAGCUUGUGCCGACUACGUCCCUGCCCUUUGUACACACCGCCCGUCGCUACUACCGAUUGAAUGGCUCAGUGAGGCUUUCGGACUGGCUCAGGGAGGUCGGCAACGACCACCCAGAGCCGGAAAGUUGUUCAAACUUGGUCAUUUAGA